UGCAGUGGGUACGGGCAGACUAGAGUGAUGUAGGGGAGACUGGAAUUCCUGGUGUAGCGGUGAAAUGCGCAGAUAUCAGGAGGAACACCGAUGGCGAAGGCAGGUCUCUGGGCAUUAACUGACGCUGAGGAGCGAAAGCAUGGGGAGCGAACAGGAUUAGAUACCCUGGUAGUCCAUGCCGUAAACGUUGGGCACUAGGUGUGGGGGACAUUCCACGUUUUCCGCCCCGUAGCUAACGCAUUAAGUGCCCCGCCUGGGGAGUACGGCCGCAAGGCUAAAACUCAAAGGAAUUGACGGGGGCCCGCACAAGCGGCGGAGCAUGCGGAUUAAUUCGAUGCAACGCGAAGAACCUUACCAAGGCUUGACAUGAACCGGUAAUACCUGGAAACAGGUGCCCCGCUUGCGGUCGGUUUACAGGUGGUGCAUGGUUGUCGUCAGCUCGUGUCGUGAGAUGUUGGGUUAAGUCCCGCAACGAGCGCAACCCUCGUUCUAUGUUGCCAGCGCGUUAUGGCGGGGACUCAUAGGAGACUGCCGGGGUCAACUCGGAGGAAGGUGGGGACGACGUCAAAUCAUCAUGCCCCUUAUGUCUUGGGCUUCACGCAUGCUACAAUGGCCGGUACAAAGGGUUGCGAUACUGUGAGGUGGAGCUAAUCCCAAAAAGCCGGUCUCAGUUCGGAUUGGGGUCUGCAACUCGACCCCAUGAAGUCGGAGUCGCUAGUAAUCGCAGAUCAGCAACGCUGCGGUGAAUACGUUCCCGGGCCUUGUACACA
rnacentral:rRNA from 1 species